rnacentral:lncRNA from 1 species
GAGGAGUUAGUUCACCUUGCAAUUAAGGUGGAAAAGCAACUAAAACCUAGAGGGACAACAAGGUUUGAAUAUAAGGGCACUUCGAGUGGGAGGCCACAUUGGUCUAAUUCUUGGAAAGGAGGUAAGAAAGGUGAUGAUAAGGUUAUUCCCAAUGACAACAAAGGGAAAAGCAUUUCAGGCAACAAAGACACAUCUAAACCCGAAAUUAACAAAGAAAAGAAUA